rnacentral:tRNA from 1 species
GACCGCGUAGCUCAGUUGGCAGAGCAUUGGCUUAGAAUUCCUAAGGUCGUAGGUUCGAUUCCCACUGUGGCCA